UCUAUUCUUUGACUGGCCUGGUGUGGUCUGAACACUGAACUAGUAGGAGUAGGAGCACAGUCGUCGUCUUGGCGUGGUGGUUUGAACGGCCGCGUUCCUCAAUUUUCCUGUCCAUUGAUUUCUUCUUCACUCGUCGUUUUGACUCGAUGAACGCGCGUGUUGGUAGCUCACUUCACUGGGAGAGCGAGGAUAUAUAAGUGGAUUAUUUGGAGACACAUCACACAUCAACCUCCUCUUGGCACAGCACUGAGCAACCAUCAUCAAGCUGCCCUUUGACGCAACAUGUCAUAGUGUGCUCCGAUCAAAUUGAUCAAGAAAUGUGCAGUUCAGAAUUUUGUUUUGAAAGGGAGGGGUAGAGCCGGCUACUGAACUUUGCCGCUUUGCAUCAUGUGUUGGUUGUCUGUUACAGUCUCUCGGUUGGAGGAACGACGAUGUGUAUCUACCGAGAUUUGAUAACGAGAUUCACCGAUAUGGCUACAUCUCCGGAGCCUGACUACGGGUGCUCCUCCCCGUAACACCAUCGCAAUACCGCACUUCGGACGCCGGCACACGCCGGCUGCUCCCCUGUGUGACUGUGUUAUUAUAUUGGCUUCGGUUACAUAAUGUGUCUACCCCAUAAUAUAUAAUAGGCCUAGAAUACAGGUGUCCUAAUAGGGCACGACUCCGCUUGUACAAAUAUAUUCGACACAAUUCUAACAAA